CCCCCACCCCCACCCCCACCCCCACCCCCACGCUGGCCACGCGGUGGAGGGACGCUGCGGAGAAGCCGGGAGGGAAGCGCAAACGCGCGUGUCGCCCAGGACAGCGAGACAGCGGUCAGCGGUCGGUGGGCUCGAAUUGGACAUUCCCAGCGCCUCGCUGGUGCCACGGAAAUGGAGAAAUAGCUUCGGGAAGGAAGUCUGAGAUCAGAGGGACAGCCGGUUUGGUUUCUUCUGAGGCCUCUCUCCUUGGCUUGCAGACAGCUGCCUUCCUCCUGUGUCUUUCCUCUGUACAGGUGGAAGAAGUUAACUACAUGAUGUCCAGACUGUAGCCAUGACAGAAGCUGCCACAAUUCUGAGAAUUGGCCUCAUGGAAAUGGGAACAAACUGACCCUGGAACUGAAGAUUAACUAUACUUAAAACAAUCGAGAUGAUGCUGGUCAGACCACCGAUGACCAAUUUCAAGAUGACCAUCAGAGCUGACUGUGCUGUCUCUGCAUGUAGCCCCCUCUCUCCGUCUAUAAAAGCUCUUGCCCACUGGUUGUCAGUGGAGGGGAGUCGGCCUUUGGACAAGAGUCUGCCCUUCCCCUUCCCUAGACCCCACAAUUGCCAGCCUCAGAAAUAAAGCAAACUUUCCUUUCCACCA